rnacentral:lncRNA from 1 species
CCUCAGACUGCUUCCUUCUUAUAAACUCUUGGUUCCUUAUUUAUCGUUUUUUUGUUUUUGAUUUUUAAGUUGUCUGACCUGAUUUUAUCAUAGUAGUUCCAAAUGCCUUACAGCCCAGUGGAGUCAAGCUAAGGAAGGACAGCAUGAUUUCCACAGGAUUUGUAUUUCUUCCCUCUGGAUAAAGUGAUAGUAGAUCCCAGACUCACUGCCAGCAGGAUCCAAGGUGGUCUUUCCUCCAGUAUUUAAUCUGGUGUCAUCAGGAACCUACACUCAGGUUUUAUUGGAGAGCAAGCCUCAAUAAGAAGUGUGCUUUGAGGAGAAUCAAGGACUUAAUCUAGGCAUAAAAGGUGUUGCUCAGCACAAUACCCUCUACGAGACUGUGUGUAUAUCGCGAGUCGGAGGCCAAACACACCGUAUUUCAUCUGUAGCAUUCAAGACUUCAAACUGGUCCACAACUCCCAAGCCUGUUGCAGAUCUCCAACUCCUGCUUUGUGUGACCCCCGCAGCAUGCUCUCUGCCGGUGGCAUCACAGUCACCACAGCAUCUUUCUGAAGCUAGGAGAGGGCCUGUAGGGGUAAGGAGAAUCCCGUUUUUAAAAGCUAUCAGUAUUUUAUAUCCCAUAGGGUAUAAAAUAGGAAUAUUAUGUCCCUCCCCAGAGCCCCUUUUUAAAAUGUGCUGUAUUAUAUGUGUUUUUAAAGGAGUAACAAGUACAUGCACAGAGGAAGCAAAAUACGGGACUUGCCUUACCCCUCUAGGACAGUUCCAGAAGUUAGCGGGGUUUGGUGGAAGGGUAUUUUGGCACCAGCAGAGAGCAUGCUGGGCUGCUGCAAGGAGCAGGAGCUGGCAAUCAACAGCGAGUUUGGAUGUUGGCAACUGAAAUGGGGAGAAAAGGGGGUAAGUUUGAGUUCAAGUGUGGAAUGUGAAUUUCCCCAGGCUCAUUGGGACUCAUGACCCACAAAUCUAAACUAUUUUGGGUGUUGUCCUCUCGGGUGACAUUUUGUAGGGUGUUGCUCAGAAAUAGCGAGGCUUUUCUCCAGUGCUAGAUGCAGAAUACGCACUUCAAGAGGCUUGGGUCGGGCUGUAGCUAUACUUCUUAAGAGCUAUCCCUUGGUUAUUCCUCUGUUACUAGUGGUGGUCCUGAGGGAUGUGUAAGAGGCAGCAGGAUGAAGUAUCUGUAGUGCUUUAUCCCUUAAAGCACAGGAACCCAUGUGGGUGAUCAUAGGGGUUAUUAUUGUGUAGUGCAUCUCCCUUUUUAGGAAAGUUCACACUUGUCUUCCUUUUUUUUCCUGUAAUCGUAGGACUUAAUGGAGGACUUAAUGGUAAUGUUUUCUGAAAGUCGAGUAUUUAUUAUUCCGAAUGACUACUGGGUUAACAUGAAAGAAGUGUAGUUUUAGUUAAGCAUUGAAGUCAGUGUGAAGAAGUGACUGUGGCUCCCCAGUUCAUACUGAAUUAGCAAAUAAUACAAGAGGAUAGCAAGCUCUCUCACACUUAGACACACACAAUGCAGCAUACUGUCAAUAUACAGUGAAUUGUUCAGUUGCAGUGCAGAAUAUUAAUAUCUUGGGGUGAAGAAAAGAAAGUGCUCCAGAUGGGAUGUGGCACUUGGGGAAGUUCUGUGAAGGUGGGUAGGUUUUGAGGAGCUGGGUAUGUUUUUCACACAUCAAUAAGAAGUGGAUAGGCAGAGUAUAGGAGCCUUGCAGGUGUACCUGGCAGCCUGUCCUUAUAAGCAACACAGGCAGUGAGGCUGACGAGUCUGGGAGUUGUGAGAAGAUGACCCGCAGGACGUCACUGAAGAGCAUGGGUUAGUGGAUUUUGGGAGGCAGAUGUGGAGAUAUAAAAUGGGGCUAGAUUAUAGAGAAUCUUCAAAGUUAGCAAAGUUAAGAUUUUGUGUAAUAGGCAGUAGAGAGCUUGUGUAAGCUUUUUUAUUCGAGAUGAGCCAUCUUGCAGACCACUGCUUAAGAAGACUGACUGUGGCAGUUUGCAGUGUGGAAGGGGGAAAGAUGGUGAAAGCUCCAAGUAGGAGGCUAGGGCUGCCAUUCGUGGGUAAGAUGAAGAGGACCAAGACAGUAGAGAUGAUAUAUAGAUAAUUGUAACCAAAUCAGGAGUAAUUGUUGGAACAGCAUAACACAUUUACAUAUUUGCUGAUGUAAUUACUCAAGGGUCAUAUCAUAAAAAGGGGUGGGGGUUUCACAUUAUGGAAACCUUGGAAUUCUCUGUCUUACGGUGGAAGACAGAACCCAGUGUAGUGUAGACAAAAGUCUAAUUUUAAUUCCCAGAGAAAGACUGAUAUCUUAUGGGACAAAUUAGUAUAUUCCCAUUCCUAAUAAUGGUGUACCUAGCUGGUGGGUAAUUGCAGGCUUUCAACCUCCAGUUCAUCUUCAUGAGAUCAAUGUUGAUUCAGAACAAUAAGUGUCAGGUCUAUGACACCUUUAAAGUUAUGCUUAAAUGUGAGUCUGUGACCACUAAUGAAUGACUACAGUUGUUUCAUGACUUGCUAAACAUACCUGGUUUUUCACAAGCAAUAGAUUUUUGAAGGAGAGGUAUUCACAGUGGGUGCUAGGAAGAUACACACAUUAAUUCUGUAGAAUUUAGCUAAAAUGUGUUCAGCCUAAGGGAUGACAUUAACAGAGACUUGUGAUCCUGCUUUGCAUCUCAUGAGUGCUGAGCAGUUGGUAGAGAUGGAUGGUAUUUUCC